CUCCUUUGUUGCGUUAACUAUAGCUUGCCAAAAACAAUAGUCAUAACAAUUACCGGAUCGGCUGUUUAGAUUUGAAUAGCCACUCACAAUGGUACAAAACGGUACAAUUGAGCGUACUUUUUAAUGACUGCGUCAGUACAUAAGCAACCAAGAUGAUUACAUAGACGAUUUUUGCUUUAGGAAAUGCGUUACAAAGCUGAUAUUUAGCCUAUAACGCAGGAAAAGUAUGGGUAUUGGCAUAUUA
rnacentral:misc_RNA from 1 species